CCUACGGGAGGCAGCAGUGAGGAAUAUUGGUCAAUGGGCGGGAGCCUGAACCAGCCAAGCCGCGUGAGGGAAGAAGGUACAGCGUAUCGUAAACCUCUUUUGUCAGGGAACAAAGGCGGGGACUAGUCCCCGGAUGAGGGUACCUGAAGAAAAAGCAUCGGCUAACUCCGUGCCAGCAGCCGCGGUAAUACGGAGGAUGCGAGCGUUAUCCGGAAUGAUUGGGCGUAAAGGGUGCGCAGGCGGUCCUGCAAGUCUGGAGUGAAACGCAUGAGCUCAACUCAUGCAUGGCUUUGGAAACUGGAGGACUGGAGAGCAGGAGAUGGCGGGGGAACUCCAUGUGGAGCGGGAAAAUGCGUAGAUAUAUGGAAGAACACCAGUGGCGAAGGCGGCCGCCUGGCCUGUUGCUGACGCUGAGGCACGAAAGCGUGGGGAGCAAAUAGGAUUAGAUACCCGAGUAGUC
rnacentral:rRNA from 1 species